rnacentral:rRNA from 1 species
AUUGAACGCUGGCGGCAGGCCUAACACAUGCAAGUCGAGCGGAUGAAGAGAGCUUGCUCUCUGAUUUAGCGGCGGACGGGUGAGUAAUGCCUAGGAAUCUGCCUGGUAGUGGGGGAUAACGUUCCGAAAGGAACGCUAAUACCGCAUACGUCCUACGGGAGAAAGCAGGGGACCUUCGGGCCUUGCGCUAUCAGAUGAGCCUAGGUCGGAUUAGCUAGUUGGUGAGGUAAUGGCUCACCAAGGCUACGAUCCGUAACUGGUCUGAGAGGAUGAUCAGUCACACUGGAACUGAGACACGGUCCAGACUCCUACGGGAGGCAGCAGUGGGGAAUAUUGGACAAUGGGCGAAAGCCUGAUCCAGCCAUGCCGCAUGUGUGAGGAAGGUCUUCGGAUUGUAAAGCACUUUAAGUUGGGAGGAAGGGGAGUAAGUUAAUACCUUGCUGUUUUGACGCUACCGACAGAAUAAGCACCGGCUAACUUCGUGCCAGCAGCCGCAGUAAGAC